rnacentral:sRNA from 1 species
GUUACCGCCUCCCAAACUGGUGACAGGAAGGAGGUGCCGUCAUUGGAAACAAUAACAUCUUUUCUUGUCGCCGUCAUGGCUGGUGUGGUUUGCCACUACAUCAUCAAAUGGUUAGAUGGCGACAAAUAGCCGGUAACUAGCCUGUAGAUGCUCAACUACAUAAAAUGAGAAGAAAACCCCGGAGUCUCGACCACUCCGGGGUUUUCGCUUUGCCAU